rnacentral:lncRNA from 1 species
AUGGGAUGCCGCAGAAGCCACUGCUGUUCCUGGAGGUCUCUUCCCUGAGCAUGGCCUUGGUUACUCAGAUGCAAAUUCUGAUGCUACCUCUGGGGUCGCUGCUGCUGAACCAGUAGUCUUCUGUCAAUCAACUGCUGCCUGCACAGCUACUGCUAUUGCUGCUGGCUCUGAUUCCACUGCUGCCAGCCUGAAGUCACCUGGAGGUCUUCUUUCUGGGUGCUGCUGCCACAGAAGAAACCACUGUCCCAGAUACAACUGAAGCCGACACUGCUGCUGACCCCGGAGAUCGCCACUUCAAUCAAGAGUUAGAGAUGGUGAAAAAAGCAAAACAAAACAAAACAAAAAACCAACAACAAGCAGAAAUCCUUGAAAUGAAGGAAUUAGUACACCAAAUUAUAAAUUCAAUAGAAAGCAUCACCAACAGACUAGACCACUUGGAAGGCAGAACCUCAGACAAUGAAGACAAAUAUAUAAUCGUGAAAGUAAAGUUGAACACUCGGAGACAAUGGUAAGAAACCAUGAACAGAACAUCCAAGAAUUAUGGGAUAACAUGAAAAGACCAAAUUUAAGAGUUAUUGGAAUAGAUGAAGGAGCAGAGGGAUAUAAGCCAAAGGAAUGCACAUUUUUUUUCAAUGUUAUAAUAGCAGAAAAUUUCCCAAACCUAAAUAAUGGAAUGGAAAAUCAAAUGCAAGAGGCUUACAGGACCCCGAACGUACAAAAUUACAGCAGACCCACACCAAGACAAUUAUAAUGAAAAUUAUAAUGUGAAUGUGUCUCUAACACAGAGAAUAAAUGGUGAAGGCGAUCCCCCACUCACUGUCUUGACAAGGUCACAGUGAGAAAAAGUGUUGGCAAAGCCGCUCUCCCACUGUCUUGACAGGGUCACAGUGAGGAUGAAUGCUGGCAAAGCCACGCUGGUUGGUGGGAAACCGAAACCAUGAGACCCUUUUUUAUGUAAUUGGGACUUUGCAUUUUCAUGCUUAUGUUUCUGACAGGAGGCAUGAGUAUGUUAAAUGCCAAACAAAUUAAAUUUCAGAUGGCUAGAACAUAACAGGUAGUUCAUGCCUUGAAGGCUGUUCUACUACCCCUCAGCAUAUCAAGGACAAAGUAGAAGGCUGUUCUUCUAUCACAGUACAUUGUGGAUAAACCUGAUAACGGACAACAAUCAUCCUUUGAAAGGUCAUGAGAAUUUUAGGCACCACAUUGAUUAUACCAACUAGAACCCAAGCCCAUAUUUCCGGUCUCUUAGAAAACCU